GGGGGUUUUAUUUUGCUGGCUCCUAUUAAAUGAGGUCAGCUCCCCUGAAACUUAUUAGCGGUAUCUGAGCAGAGAGACCUACUACAGGUGUGAUAAAUUAUCUAUGCCUUGGUCAUACUGCAUGAACAGAUUGUGCUGCUUCCAGUGAAUCAUUUGACAAUUUUGACCUCAAAUCAGGUAGGACUACCCGCUGAACUUAA
rnacentral:misc_RNA from 1 species